rnacentral:rRNA from 1 species
UACGUAGGGGGCAAGCGUUGUCCGGAAUCAUUGGGCGUAAAGAGCGCGUAGGCGGCCCUGUAAGUCCGCUGUGAAAGUCAAGGGCUCAACCCUUGAAUGCCGGUGGAUACUGCAGGGCUAGAGUCCGGAAGAGGCGAGUGGAAUUCCUGGUGUAGCGGUGAAAUGCGCAGAUAUCAGGAGGAACACCGAUGGCGAAGGCAGCUCGCUGGGACGGCACUGACGCUGAGGCGCGAAAGCGUGGGGAGCAAACAGG